GGCGCACGGGUGAGUAACACGUCGAAUCAAUCUACCUCACGAGUGGGGAAUAACCAUAGAAGAAAUACUGGGCUCAAUACCGCUAUAACAUGACUGAUGGCACAUGCUGUUGUCGUUCAAUUAAGGCGCAACGUCAGCCUAGAAUGAGGGAUCCUGCUGGGGCCUGAUUAGCUGUGUCUCGGCUGAUGGUACAAUGGCUCAACCAAGGCAUUGAUCUGGUAGCCUGGACUGAGUAGGUUCGGCCCGGGCCCACACUUGGAACUCGAGACACGGUCCCAGACUCCCAUACGGGAGGCAGCAGUGGGGAAUCUUGCACAAUGGACGAAAGUCUGAUGCAGCAACGCCGCGUGGGGGAUGAAGCUUCUCGGAGUGUAAACCCCUUUCGACCCGGAAGAAUGCCCGCAAGGGUUUGACGGUACGGGUAUAAGAAGCCCCGGCUAACUACGUGCCAGCAGCCGCGGUAAUACGUAGGGGGCCAGCGUUGCUCGGAAUUACUGGGCGUAAAGGGUCUGUAGGCGGUGCGGCAAGUCGAUAGUGAAAUCCCUAGGCUUAACCUAGGGGCUGCUAGCGAAACUGCCGUGCUAGAGUGUGAGAGAGGCGAGUUGGAAUUACGGGUGUUAGCCGGUUGAAAU
rnacentral:rRNA from 1 species